GAACGAACGCUGGCGGCAGGCCUAACACAUGCAAGUCGAACGGAUCCUUCGGGAUUAGUGGCAGACGGGUGAGUAACGCGUGGGAAGCUACCUUGUGGUAGGGAACAACAGUUGGAAACGACUGCUAAUACCCUAUGAGCCCUAUGGGGGAAAGAUUUAUCGCCAUGAGAUGUGCCCGCGUUAGAUUAGCUAGUUGGUAAGGUAAUGGCUUACCAAGGCGACGAUCUAUAGCUGGUCUGAGAGGAUGAUCAGCCACACUGGGACUGAGACACGGCCCAGACUCCUACGGGAGGCAGCAGUGGGGAAUAUUGGACAAUGGGGGCAACCCUGAUCCAGCCAUGCCGCGUGAGUGAUGACGGCCUUAGGGUUGUAAAGCUCUUUCAGCAGUGAAGAUAAUGACAUUAACUGCAGAAGAAGCCCCGGCUAACUUCGUGCCAGCAGCCGCGGUAAUACGAAGGGGGCUAGCGUUGUUCGGAAUCACUGGGCGUAAAGCGUACGUAGGCGGACUGAUCAGUCAGGGGUGAAAUCCCGGGGCUCAACCCCGGAACUGCCUUUGAUACUGUCAGUCUUGAGAUCGAGAGAGGUGAGUGGAACUCCGAGUGUAGAGGUGAAAUUCGUAGAUAUUCGGAAGAACACCAGUGGCGAAGGCGGCUCACUGGCUCGAUACU
rnacentral:rRNA from 1 species